GGUUAAGCGACUAAGCGUACACGGUGGAUGCCCUGGCAGUCAGAGGCGAUGAAGGGCGUGCUAAUCUGCGAUAAGCGCCGGUAAGGUGAUAUGAACCGUUAUAACCGGCGAUACCCGAAUGGGGAAACCCAGUGUGAUUCGUCACACUAUCAUUAACUGAAUCCAUAGGUUAAUGAGGCGAACCGGGGGAACUGAAACAUCUAAGUACCCCGAGGAAAAGAAAUCAACCGAGAUUCCCCCAGUAGCGGCGAGCGAACGGGGAGGAGCCCAGAGCCUGAAUCAGCAUGUGUGUUAGUGGAAGCGUCUGGAAAGGCGCGCGAUACAGGGUGACAGCCCCGUACACAAAAGCGCAUGUGCUGUGAGCUCGAUGAGUAGGGCGGGACACGUGGUAUCCUGUCUGAAUAUGGGGGGACCAUCCUCCAAGGCUAAAUACUCCUGACUGACCGAUAGUGAACCAGUACCGUGAGGGAAAGGCGAAAAGAACCCCGGCGAGGGGAGUGAAAAAGAACCUGAAACCGUGUACGUACAAGCAGUGGGAGCACAGGUUUACCUGUGUGACUGCGUACCUUUUGUAUAAUGGGUCAGCGACUUAUAUUCUGUAGCAAGGUUAACCGUAUAGGGGAGCCGUAGGGAAACCGAGUCUUAACCGGGCGUUAAGUUGCAGGGUAUAGACCCGAAACCCGGUGAUCUAGCCAUGGGCAGGUUGAAGGUUGGGUAACACUAACUGGAGGACCGAACCGACUAAUGUUGAAAAAUUAGCGGAUGACCUGUGGCUGGGGGUGAAAGGCCAAUCAAACCGGGAGAUAGCUGGUUCUCCCCGAAAGCUAUUUAGGUAGCGCCUCGUGAAUUCAUCUCCGGGGGUAGAGCACUGUUUCGGCUAGGGGGCCAUCCCGGCUUACCAACCCGAUGCAAACUGCGAAUACCGGAGAAUGUUAUCACGGGAGACACACGGCGGGUGCUAACGUCCGUCGUGAAGAGGGAAACAACCCAGACCGCCAGCUAAGGUCCCAAAGUCAUGGUUAAGUGGGAAACGAUGUGGGAAGGCCCAGACAGCCAGGAUGUUGGCUUAGAAGCAGCCAUCAUUUAAAGAAAGCGUAAUAGCUCACUGGUCGAGUCGGCCUGCGCGGAAGAUGUAACGGGGCUAAACCAUGCACCGAAGCUGCGGCAGCGACGUUUAUGCGUUGUUGGGUAGGGGAGCGUUCUGUAAGCCUGCGAAGGUGGCCUGUGAGGGUUGCUGGAGGUAUCAGAAGUGCGAAUGCUGACAUAAGUAACGAUAAAGCGGGUGAAAAGCCCGCUCGCCGGAAGACCAAGGGUUCCUGUCCAACGUUAAUCGGGGCAGGGUGAGUCGACCCCUAAGGCGAGGCCGAAAGGCGUAGUCGAUGGGAAACGGGUUAAUAUUCCCGUACUUGGUGUUACUGCGAAGGGGGGACGGAGAAGGCUAUGUUGGCCGGGCGACGGUUGUCCCGGUUUAAGCGUGUAGGCUGGUUUUCCAGGCAAAUCCGGAAAAUCAAGGCUGAGGCGUGACGACGAGGCACUACGGUGCUGAAGCAACAAAUGCCCUGCUUCCAGGAAAAGCCUCUAAGCAUCAGGUAACAUCAAAUCGUACCCCAAACCGACACAGGUGGUCAGGUAGAGAAUACCAAGGCGCUUGAGAGAACUCGGGUGAAGGAACUAGGCAAAAUGGUGCCGUAACUUCGGGAGAAGGCACGCUGACACGUAGGUGAAGUGAUUUACUCAUGGAGCUGAAGUCAGUCGAAGAUACCAGCUGGCUGCAACUGUUUAUUAAAAACACAGCACUGUGCAAACACGAAAGUGGACGUAUACGGUGUGACGCCUGCCCGGUGCCGGAAGGUUAAUUGAUGGGGUCAGCGCAAGCGAAGCUCCUGAUCGAAGCCCCGGUAAACGGCGGCCGUAACUAUAACGGUCCUAAGGUAGCGAAAUUCCUUGUCGGGUAAGUUCCGACCUGCACGAAUGGCGUAAUGAUGGCCAGGCUGUCUCCACCCGAGACUCAGUGAAAUUGAACUCGCUGUGAAGAUGCAGUGUACCCGCGGCAAGACGGAAAGACCCCGUGAACCUUUACUAUAGCUUGACACUGAACAUUGAGCCUUGAUGUGUAGGAUAGGUGGGAGGCUUUGAAGUGUGGACGCCAGUCUGCAUGGAGCCGACCUUGAAAUACCACCCUUUAAUGUUUGAUGUUCUAACGUGGACCCGUUACCCGGGUUGCGGACAGUGUCUGGUGGGUAGUUUGACUGGGGCGGUCUCCUCCUAAAGAGUAACGGAGGAGCACGAAGGUUGGCUAAUCCUGGUCGGACAUCAGGAGGUUAGUGCAAUGGCAUAAGCCAGCUUGACUGCGAGCGUGACGGCGCGAGCAGGUGCGAAAGCAGGUCAUAGUGAUCCGGUGGUUCUGAAUGGAAGGGCCAUCGCUCAACGGAUAAAAGGUACUCCGGGGAUAACAGGCUGAUACCGCCCAAGAGUUCAUAUCGACGGCGGUGUUUGGCACCUCGAUGUCGGCUCAUCACAUCCUGGGGCUGAAGUAGGUCCCAAGGGUAUGGCUGUUCGCCAUUUAAAGUGGUACGCGAGCUGGGUUUAGAACGUCGUGAGACAGUUCGGUCCCUAUCUGCCGUGGGCGCUGGAGAACUGAGGGGGGCUGCUCCUAGUACGAGAGGACCGGAGUGGACGCAUCACUGGUGUUCGGGUUGUCAUGCCAAUGGCACUGCCCGGUAGCUAAAUGCGGAAGAGAUAAGUGCUGAAAGCAUCUAAGCACGAAACUUGCCCCGAGAUGAGUUCUCCCUGAGACUUAGAGUCUCCUGAAGGAACGUUGAAGACGACGACGUUGAUAGGCCGGGUGUGUAAGCGCAGCGAUGCGUUGAGCUAACCGGUACUAAUGAACCGUGAGGCUUAACCUU
rnacentral:rRNA from 1 species